AACUAAACAUCUUGUAGUGCUGAGAGGAAUCUGGCCCUGCAGACAUUUACCUGUGACUCUCCUAGUUGUCUUUAUUUUUCUUGAUGCAAGCUGAUGUACAGACAGAGUCCUACCAUCUGUGCUACAACGGUUGGAGGCCCAAGAUUGACUAUGUUUUGGUACCAAGUCCUUCCAUCAUCAGCGUCCACAUAUUAAAGCGAUGGCUCUCUGUACAUGCACACUGCAAACAGAAAAGACACCCGUUAGCAGCCCUGAAGUCACAGCAUCACUGACCACCAUGAGUUAUCUGUAUGCGAGGCUGAAGUCCUCACCCCGGUACAACACAGGCGCAGACAUACAAAAGCCUCAGUGACCCAGUGGAAGAUCCUCUUAUCGAGCAAGAUCUGCUAUCUGCCUUUGCUGCCAGCCAGAUCCUUCCAGAGGCACAGACAGAAACAAGGGAUUUCUGCUUCCCUGUGGG
rnacentral:lncRNA from 1 species